GUUGAUGUGUGUGGAAGUAAACAAAUAUGGCGUCUCGAAAAGCACGCUUAUUUUGAAAAUGAAGUUUUCAGAGAUUGUUUUAAUCUACGGAUGAAGUGGUCGUCAUUAACGGAGAAAGGAAAAUUUGUUAAAUUAAGAUACUACAUUCCUAGUCUAUUAUAGACCUAGGAAUAUUAGUCGACAUGAAGGGUUCAAGGGCAAUCUAAGGAAAUCAUAAAUUGUACAGAAACUAUACAAAGAAUGCUUGAGUAUGCCUUGAAAUUUCUACAACCUAAUUCUCUGUCCAGAUGACUUUUUGUAAUCUUACUGACAAAGAUGUUCACCAUAUUCAAUUGGAGCACAUUUAAGAUAUGGCUCCUCUAGCUAAUGUGAUCAUGGCAUUAGGUCCAAAAGAUGGUGGGAGCCGCCGUGAGUUACGCGGAAGGAAGAAUCUCGCCGCGCGACUCGGAAGGGACACGGACCAUUCCGGGUCACCAACCGGAAUUGGAAUAUAAGCACUCUUCCUCCCGACUGUGUCUAUAAGUACCGAGUCGAUUACCGUUCCGGAGUUACGAUUUGAAAAUCGAGUCGAGGGAAGACGGAAGAACGAUUCCAAUGCAUUUGUUUACGUCUGGACGAAGCCGACGUUCCCCGUUGAAAGUGCACCAGUAUUUCAUAUUUGUCUUAUUUAUUUUUAAUAAAAAUAAUCAAAGUUUAAACUAACCUCGUCGUAUUCUACCAUUCAAAUAAAUUGAUAACUGCCGACUGACGACCUGGUUAAAUAGACAAACUACACGAGGACAUCCACUUUCACCGAUUCCGAUCGAAGGGGUUCCUUGGUUAACAGAUCUUCCUGGCUUUCAGACUUUAAAUUUCGACGUCGCGGCCGGCGGAGAUUCGGGGCGGUAGAAGAUCGAAUUUGUAAAGAGAAUUGAGUGGCGCGUGUCGGAUUAUGGCGCGAGUGACGGCCACGAACAAUAAAUUAAUGAAUAAAUCAUUAAUAUGUAACAGAUUGAUGUCUCGUUAAGGAGAAGUUCUCAUGCACUAUUCAUUGUCCGCUUCUUUUAUCUUCCGAGUGGAAUGACCUGAUGGGAAUGUUUUCCCUCCAAACAACAAAAAAAAAAAAAAACAAUAACCUUCCGAUAUAUUCCGUCUGUAAUUUGGAAUUAUUCUUUAUUUCGUUUUUAGCAAAUUCCGCCGACCAAUCCUAAUUAUAAAAUUUAAUCUAUUUUUGGAAGCGCUUUUACGCUGUCUGCUUUUCGCUUCCCGAAUAAAUUACAAAAAAGAGAGAGAAGUGGACGUAAUCACGUCGGUCUCACCUCCACUAACUUAUAUUCCGACGUCGGGGGUAAUCUAAUGGCGGUUUGUUUAAACUAAUUUAAUUUUUGAGACGUUAACCAUAAAUCCCGAAGAUAGCGUAUUCGUAUUUGCCUUUUAAAAUUUAAUCGCCGGUUUUUAUCCUUCCAAAUUGAUCUUUCUUUACUAACUAAACACAAAAUAAUUCUCCCCGGCAAAUUAGUUUUCUCCCUCUUUUUUAAAUAUGAAUUUAUUUCGGAGAAUUAACAAGAAAUUUGCACUGGCAAGAAGAGGAGAGGUACUUUCCCCACAUUAUUUAUAAGAGGGAGAAAAACGCCGAGUGGAGGUCAAGAACGACUUUUUUGUUUGGAAAUAAGUCCGCAUUUAGAAUGGAAGAACAGAACAGGUUUUAUUCCGGAGAGUCGUGUUUAGCAACAUUCGAGAAGCUAUUAUUCUCUCAGAACCAACCGCGUCGCUCUUCUUUACAAAGUUUACAAAGCGCGAAAUUUUAGCGCAUUGCAGGUCU